rnacentral:rRNA from 1 species
AAUAGAUACCCGGGUAGUCCACGCCGUAAACGAUGGAUACUAGCUGUCCGGCGCAAGCUGGGUGGCUAAGCGAAAGUGAUAAGUAUCCCACCUGGGGAGUACGUUCGCAAGAAUGAAACUCAAAGGAAUUGACGGGGGCCCGCACAAGCGGUGGAGCAUGUGGUUUAAUUCGAUGAUACGCGAGGAACCUUACCAGGGCUUAAAUGUAGUGGGACAGGUCCAGAGAUGGGCCCUUCUUCGGACUCAUUACAAGGUGCUGCAUGGUUGUCGUCAGCUCGUGCCGUGAGGUGUCAGGUUAAGUCCUAUAACGAGCGCAACCCCUGUCGUUAGUUGCCAGCGAGUGAAGUCGGGAACUCUAACGAGACUGCCGGUGCAAACCGUGAGGAAGGUGGGGAUGACGUCAAAUCAUCACGGCCCUUACGUCCUGGGCUACACACGUGCUACAAUGGCCGGUACAGAGAGCAGCCACGCCGCAAAGGCGGAGCGGAUCUACAAAAACCGGUCACAGUUCGGAUCGGGGUCUGCAACUCGA